UAGCUGCAGAAUAAGCACCGGCUAACUCUGUGCCAGCAGCCGCGGUAAUACAGAGGGUGCAAGCGUUAAUCGGAAUUACUGGGCGUAAAGGGAGCGUAGGUGGCUCGAUAAGUCAGAUGUGAAAUCCCCGGGCUCAACCUGGGAACUGCAUCUGAUACUGUUGAGCUAGAGUAUGUGAGAGGAAGGUAGAAUUCCAGGUGUAGCGGUGAAAUGCGUAGAGAUCUGGAAGGAAUACCGAUGGCGAAGGCAGCCUUCUGGCAUAAUACUGACACUGAGGCUCGAAAGCGUGGGUAGCAAACAGGAUUAGAUACCCUGGUAGUCCACGCCGUAAACGAUGUCUACUAGUCGUUGGGUCCCUUGAGGACUUAGUGACGCAGCUAACGCAAUAAGUAGACCGCCUGGGGAGUACGGCCGCAAGGUUAAAACUCAAAUGAAUUGACGGGGGCCCGCACAAGCGGUGGAGCAUGUGGUUUAAUUCGAUGCAACGCGAAGAACCUUACCUGGUCUUGACAUAUCUAGAAUCCUGCAGAGAUGCGGGAGUGCCUUCGGGAAUUAGAAUACAGGUGCUGCAUGGCUGUCGUCAGCUCGUGUCGUGAGAUGUUGGGUUAAGUCCCGCAACGAGCGCAACCCUUGUCCUUAGUUACCAGCGGGUUAAGCCGGGAACUCUAAGGAUACUGCCAGUGACAAACUGGAGGAAGGCGGGGACGACGUCAAGUCAUCAUGGCCCUUACGACCAGGGCUACACACGUGCUACAAUGGUAGGUACAGAGGGCAGCUACACAGCGAUGUGAUGCGAAUCU
rnacentral:rRNA from 1 species